rnacentral:lncRNA from 1 species
AUUUUCAAUCAUCCAUAAGCUUACAAUUGGUAGAAAUGGAGCUAAAGAUCGAACCAAUGAUCGACUUUUUUUGCCCAAUUCUGCCACUGACAAUAUUAUCGGUUAAGUUGAAUCUUAUUGACCAAAAAAUAUAUUUAUCUAUAAACCAUAUAAUUUAGAAGAGACAAUCUCUCUCUCCACCCCCUCUCACUGCAACCCCCAUUUCCUUUAUAUAAAAAUUUAGAAUAAAUCGUCCGAAAAUAAAACACACACACGUUCACAUUUUUAACAUAGUUAAGUUGAUAAAAAUAUUGCAUAUAAUAUAUAAGAUUAAGAUUCGAAUUCUACUUCCAUUUAUUUUUAGAAAAUAAAAUUAUAGUCACUAAAUUACUUAACAAAUAAAUCAUCUAAUAAUAUAGUCUAUUUCCACCAAAUCGCAACAUCAUAUCCACUUUAAUCAAAUACAUGAGAAAUUAUUGGUUUCCAUUAUGCAGCAUAUCGAUUAACCUCUUAUACUAUUCUACUUCCACACUUAUCA